UACGUAUGUUGCAAGCGUUACUCGGAAUCACUGGGCGUAAAGAGUUCGUAGGCGGACUAAUAAGUCAGAGGUGAAAUUUUGGGGCUCAACCCCGAAACUGCCUUUGAAACUGUUUGUCUUGAGUAUGUGAGAGGAAGAUGGAAUUCCUGGUGUAGCGGUGGAAUGCGUAGAUAUCAGGAAGAACACCGAUGGCGAAGGCAAUCUUCUGGCACAAUACUGACGCUGAGGAACGAAAGCGUGGGGAGCGAACAGG
rnacentral:rRNA from 1 species